rnacentral:lncRNA from 1 species
GCCCACUCAUGUGAUACAGGAUAAUCUCUGCAUCACAGAAUCCUUAACCACACAUGCAAAAUCUAUGUUACCAAAUAGAGUAACAUUCACAGGUUCCAAGCAGCAGGAUACAGCAUUUUUGGGUCACCAGUUUUCUGCCUACCACAUGUUCGGAGGUACUGACUUUUCAAUGAUGUGUCUUAAGAUGGAUCUAUUGCUAUUCAUAGGACUGGGAACAUGGUCACAUGGAGAAAACUGAGGACCAGCGAAGUGGCCUGCAGAAGUAACAAACUCCUUAACAAGUGCUAUGGCACCAGCUCAUCAGAAUGGACACUGGCUUUAAUGACUUUUGCAUUUCUGAAACCAGAUGACUUCACUGGAUGACUCCACUGAGACCCAAGACUCAAGACCCGACCAGUCCUGUGGCCCUCACGUCUACACAGUAUGUGUGAGGUUCAAUCUGACUAUCCAUCCUUUAUGGAAAUGCUACAUUACACAUUAACUCAAAGGCUGAGAAUCCAUUAAGUCAAGGCCUGCCAGGGAUUUUUCUAUGAGGCCCUAAACCAUGGUCUCUGCCAACAACUCCUCCAUCUCCCCAUGGCUCUCAAGAAAUAGAACUGCUCCAUCCUGAAGAGCUGUCUCCUUUGGGAAAAAUGAAAGAGGAAAUCACAUUAAGAAUAAAAUUGUCAUCACAAGAUUCAUUUUAUUAACCCAGUAUUUCCUUACUUGCUGCAAAUAUGCUGGCGAUUUUGGAUCAGACAAUCCAGGACAGUGUUAUUUGAAUUUAUUCUUUGGCAUAGUUCCUAGUGUUUUUGAUGUAACCCAGCAAUAUCUCCAACAGCAAAGCUGCAGAAUUCUGCUGUCCAUUUUUAUUGAAGUAUUGAAUGUAAUUGAGACUCGUCUGCUUAGACUCACCCAUGUAUACUAGGGCUUUGGUUUUGAUAAACAUUGUUUCUUCUGUUUUCUCUACUUCAGUGUUUUACUCUUUUAAUCUUCUUUUUCUUGAAUUUUAGCCUUCGAGUUUUUCUUCCGCAGAUUUUCAUUUCUGAAUAUUAAACCAUGCAAAUUCUCUAUGGCCUUUUACAGUAUGACUUUCUAUAUAUGCCUUAAUUCCAGGUGGCAGGACAGACCAUUUAACAAUGUGCUACCCAAACUCACUGUGGUGAUACGCAAACUCACUGUAGUUUGUGCAAAGUCCUACAGUUCAAAAUGCAUACCCAGGCACUACAGUGUUAGGCAAUAGUAAAAAACUAAAUGCCCCAAAAGAAGGCAUGUAAAGAUAGAAAGUGCCCACAUAAUCCUCAAAUUCAAAAACACCUUAUAAAUUAACUGUGUCCAAAGACUUUGGUUUUUAUGACUUAGGGAAGCCUAAUCUUUGCUCAUAUGAGCCCUUGUUCAAUUUGGAUUGUCUUUUAGAAAGACGAGUCUACUGAAGCAGGGCAAAAUGUCACUUUAUUUUAAAUUAAGAUUAGAAACAAUGACAUUUAAUUAUCAUAAUCAUGUGUUUUUCAGUAGAUAAUUAUAAAAGACACCACGGUUUAACAUUUAGCUUGUUUCCAAAAGAGGAAAAAGGGUGGGAAGUAUUUUUAUUUAACAAUGAGAGUAUUUAGAGGCAAAUGAUUUUAUCUGAAAUUUACUAUUGUUAACUGUUGUACUGUUUGCUGUAAAUUAAUCUGAAGUAAGUAUCCAUAGAAAAAUGUCUCUUUGAAAUAAGCAUUUCUAAAAUCCUUGAAUAUAUCUAGUUUGGCAAGUAUGUAAUUAUAUAACACACAUGUCAUAUUUACAAUUGAAAUGGGGCAAAAUUGUACAUAUAGAGAGACCUAAUAUGUGAGAAUGAGGAAAGGUAUUAACUUUUUAGUAGUAUCAGAUGCCACUUGAGCACUUUCUACAUGUGCAAGACACUGUGCUAAGUACUCUUGCAAACAUGCAGGUAAGCACUAUUUUUAUUUGCAUUUUAUAUACCAGAGAAUUGAUACAUGGAUAUGCUAAAUAAGGAGUGGAAUUAGGGAUUCAGACUGAGGAAUAGCUAAAUCUGAAGCCAAGUUCUUAGCCACUAAACUUGUACUCUACAGUAUGAUUACUAUUCAUACGUAGUUAUUGAGAAAUAGAAAUGUGUCUAGUUUAAAUUUAGAAAAACUAUAAAUAUAAAAUGCACAAUGUUUUUCAUUAGUAUUAGAAAAUAAAUACCUCAAUAAUUUUAUAUUGAUCACAUGUUGAGAUAUUUGGC